rnacentral:lncRNA from 1 species
CUCUUCAGGAGUACCAUUUUCUAGGAGGUAAGCAUCAGACCAAUCACAGUCUAAAAACUUUUUAGGAGGGAAGCGUGACAUGGAGUUCCUUCUCAUCUCCCUCUCAAGGACGUCAAUGCAUAACCGGUCUUUGUUAGUUUCCUGCCCCUGCUUUGAAGCUUCAAUAUAAUCCUUUCGCCUUGUCAUUCUCCGACAGAUUGCUACAGCUGUUUGCCCAUCUGAUGUAGUUUCUGAUGCGCGUGCUCCCUUGCUCAGCAGAGUCACCAUCACUUCUGGCUCAUUACGCCUUGCAGCCACAUGAAGCACCGUACGUCCUCUUGCAUCCUUAAGAUUGAGACCAGCCGAGUCCAUAUUGAGCACUUCCUUAAAAACCUUUGGGCUGCAGCAGGCAGCAGCAUAGUGCAGAGCGUAAGCAUCAUCCAGAGUGACAUUAGAUACAUCCAGAAGAAGCUUCAACAGUUCAACGUCAUCAGAGUGCAGCGCCUUGUGGAUUCUUCUGACUAUUUUUGCAUGCAUAGGAUCCACUUCUGCUAUAUUAGCUUCAGACUCCUGGUUAGAUUUGACACGGAGUGAUUUGAUUUCACUUGAAACUUCAUCAGGAAGCUCUCUCUCAAGACAAAAAUUGUCAAGAUUUGAUCCUGCAAUUCUCUGGAUGCAGUAAGAACGGAGCAUGUUCAGUUGGCAAUGGAAGGCAGCCACGAGAAUUGGGAGUACAUCUUCCACAAGAGCCUUCCCAACCAUGCCCAGAAGCCAAUGCUGCACGGACAGAUAAGAGUUCUGAUUCAGAAUAAUAUAUUCAAAAUUCAAAUACUUAACAGGGAUAAUCUGUGCAGGAAAAUAAUAAUGAGGGGGAAAAUCAGUGCCAUGCUUAUCGAACCUAAAUGCCGAUGGACCAAUGUUCAGAGACACAAGCUCGGCUACACAAGAUGUUACUCUACAGCAUUAAUGAUUUGCUAGGUUAUAGCCUGGACGGGGAAAAAGAGAAUCUCUCGCAUUCGCAUUAACUGUUGAGCUUGAAAGCAUGAGAGAACUAACUAUCAAGUGAGUGAGAAAAUCGGAUAAAACAACCUAAAUAACAGAACAGUCAAGCCAGAGCAUGAACUGACACCCACCCAAAUGAAAAUUGGUGGUCAAGUAAAUUUUUUUCCAGAAGAAGCCUUCCAAUGCUAGUCUCCAAUAGACCGUUUCAUAAUCGGGCAAUUUAAUAAAAGUAAGACGAGUGAAUCAACAAAGAAAAGGCGAAGUUUGUCAAAGUUCCAAUAUACAGAUGUAGAAUAACAUAUCAUUCACUAGAAACGGAGCACCAUUGUUGGACAGUAAGUAACAGCUAGACAUCCUUGAAGGCUUGAACAAAUCUAUGAAUCCUACAGACAGGAGUGACAAAGUUUCUUUCCUUGGUUAGAAACUCAACGCAAAAGCUUUUUGCGAUAGGAUAGGUGCACUUAUCAAAUUCAGACUCAUGUAAUCUAUACCUUUUUGGUUAUUUUUUAUCAUUCUUGGGUGUCAGUGUGGGCAAGUUUUGAUUCCUAGAGUUGGCUGCCCAUCAUCAUCACUUUUGUCUCUUUCAAAAUAAAACAACAGACUCUUGCGAGAUAAGACGAAGUUUUGGAUCUACUAUAAUGCCUAAUAUUGGGAACCACCGAAGUUGCUUCACAACUGAAAUUGAUUUCAAUCCCAUAUAUGUUAAAACUAUACCAAGAAGCAUAAAUUUAAGCAAUACAAAUAGCAGGGAAGCACAAUUACCUGCAAAAGAAAAACGCGGUCUUUCAUCUGAAGAGCAGCAGAAGCAUACAUCAACUCAAUAACAUAAUUAACAGAAGAAGGGCAAGAUACAUGAACACAAGCAUCAUCAACACACGCGGACACUUCUGGAGGAGGUGCCUUAAGCUUCCCAGUGUAAAUAUAAUGCAGGAUAUCAUUGAAAGCUUCAAAUCCAAACUUCCCAUCACAAGGCACCAAAUCAGUCAAAAGAUACUUGGGUUUCCCCUCACUGACAGAACCAUCAUUUCUCAAAUUUAAAAGCCGACGAAAAAAUUUGACUGCGCUCAGACAAUAUGCUGCGAUUAACCGCCACUGAUUUGCCCUCAACAACAAUCUCAGCAUGAAGCCAUGUCUCUUUGGGAUUGGUGCUUUGCCUCCUUAAGUUCAAAUUAUCAAGAUUGCAAGUGCCUGUUGAUUGAUUAGUGGACCAACAAGUCGGAUAUGAUGAGUCAAAACUCAAAGAUGCUGACUUUUCGUUCGCAUUUUCCAUGAUACCAUCAAGAACCAUAUUCAUACUGAAUCUAUAUAUAUAUAUAUAUAUAUCAAGAACGAAUACUAUCAAUCACAAUGAAAGGCUUACUUGAAUCAUGAUCUACCUAUGUGAUUUAAAGAUGAAAGUUUUGACCCAAGUUCACAGGUCGCGAAGGCGUAAUUUCCUGUUUUCACCCCUUAGGUUUGAUGUAUCUCCACUAUGAUAGAAAGUAUCAGCGUAUCUCCGAUUUCCCCCCGAUUGUUUUUAGACUGCUUUGUUGACCGUAUGUUGACUACUGAAAAGACAAAGAUACCCUUCACGCUAAAAUCAAGAACUGAAAGCUCGAAAUUUCGGCUGCCGUAAUGUGCCUUAGCGUGGAAGGGUUAAGUACUUUCGAAAUGACAAAACACCACGGACAAUGACAUUACCGAGUCAUUAAAAAAAAAAUAAUAAUAAUAAUAAAUUAAAUACAACUCUAUUACUUUGCCAGCUAUAAAUUGUUACAUUUCCAAACAAAAAAUAAAUAGAGAGAUUGAUUUGUGGAGUAAGAUUUCUCAUCUAGGACUGGCGAGCACCCGAAUGGCUGGAUCACCAACAACAAUUUAUGAGCCACUGUGUCUUGGUUUCACUGAAUUGCUGGAUGAUUAGCUUUGGUCUUUGAAGCUGAAAUUUUCACCUAGAAGAUCUGAUAAAAAUAAUUAAAUCAAGUAAUAUGACAUACAAUAAAUUCAACAAAAUAAAAGGACAAAUUGAACUAUUUAGCAACGCUGCAAUUACCAAAUCAGUAAGCAAAACAAUUACUUGAUAAGACUUUUGACUUGUCUAACCCAAAAUUGUACCCAGUUCUACACUCUACUAUGAAUCUUAUGAAGCCAAACUUAGUUUAACCUAACAACGCUAUUAACUCAGUUAAAAGAAACCGCUGAAAUAACUGACAUUUAAGGAAAAAAAAAUUGAUAAAACUAAAAGUAACUUAUAAUAGUCUAUUGCAGGCGCAUACAAAACAUGAAGAUAAAUAAACAUGGGUCUAUUUUCUUGACACUACCAAGUUUUGGAUUCAAAAUCACCAUAUAAUGAUAAUAAUUUGCUGUGAUUCCUGAGACACUAUGUAGCAGCUUAUAUGUUGGCAAUCGUAGUCAAAGAUGGUUGUCAAACAUCCUGGCAAAUCAAGAAGCUAAUAAAGACCAGAUCGCACUACAUUGACAUAUAUCAGUUCUUUGAUAUAAAGAUAUUGAAUGUUAUACACUCUAAUCCCAAGUCCUGAACAUAAAACAAAAGUUCACUUCACACACUCAUAAAACUAGACGGCUACAGAAAAGGAGAAUAGACAUUGGAUAUAGGUCAAUAAACUACUAAGCUAAUUAAUGCACAAUAGAUGUGUCAAUGUCUAUACCAUUAAUAUCUGCUGUACCGUACAUCCGCCUUGGCCGUACAGCAGAAACAAACCCAUUUUCAUUUUAAUUAAUAAAAAAACACCAGCAGUAGAGCAACUUCUUCAACACAUCAACAAACCCAUUUUCAUUUUAAUUAAUAAAAAAACACCAGCAGUAGAGCAACUUCUUCAACACAUCAACAAACCCAUUUUCAUUUUAAUUAAUAAAAAAACACCAGCAGUAGAGCAACUUCUUCAACACAUCAACAAACCCAUUUUCAUUUUAAUUAAUAAAAAAACACCAGCAGUAGAGCAACUUCUUCAACACAUCAACAAACCCAUUUUCAUUUUAAUUAAUAAAAAAACACCAGCAGUAGAGCAACUUCUUCAACACAUCAACAAACCCAUUUUCAUUUUAAUUAAUAAAAAAACACCAGCAGUAGAGCAACUUCUUCAACACAUCAACAAACCCAUUUUCAUUUUAAUCAACAAACAACACCGGCAACAGAGCAGAUUCUUCGACAAACUAAUAAACCCAUUUUCAUUUUUAAAUAACAAAAUAAUGCCCAAUCACUGAUUUCUAACGUGCAAAGAGUUUUUUCAAAGACUAACCUUGUACGCGAUUGAGUGACAGUCGCCUCUAACGCCGACCGCAGGCAACACUCACUCGGCGCCAUUACCCUCGAUUCAUCACCUGUUCUUUUCUUAUCCGAUUCUCUGAGCUAAAGUUGCAGGAUUACGGUUGAUUUGUUUAUCUUCAAAGCAUUUAGAGAUGGAGUAUGUGUGUGUUUUGGUUAGGUGAAGCAGACUCGUAUUUCUUAUGGAUCGAUUUGAUGAAAGAGAAGACUUGUAGCCUCGUCCAUUAACAAUAUGAAACGGUAUACAAACGGCAGGGGAGAAAAGUGGGAGAUACGCUAAUACUUUCUAUUAAAAUGGAGAUACGCCAAACUUCAGGGGAAGAAACUAAAAGUUACCCGUCAUAAAGGAAGCAGGGCAAUCAUAUUAAUAAAAGUAGAGUUUUGAGAACCAUACAUCAUUCAAAGCCCAUCUUUUAAGCUCAUGAGAAUCAGACUUUGUAAAUAGCCAUUGGUAAAUUUUACAAUUUUAGUCGUAAUUUAUUGCAUCCUUUCACUUGCUCAUAAUUUGAUUGAAAAAAAAAAAAAAACUUUAAGUAAUGUAUGAAGUAAUGUAUGAUAUGUGAAGUAUUAUUUUUAUCUUUAAUUUGGAAAUAAAUAUAACUGACUAAGACGACUAUAAUAGAAUAAAUUUUUGAAAAGGUUUGACAUUAUACUAUUCAGGAUGAGACUGUUUACAAUUUUGUAUUAUGAAAAACACUAUAAACACCGAUGGUUAAAUAAAAUUUUGAAUUAUUAAAAUAUUCAUAAUUAAGUUUACUAUUAGUGACAAACUUGUAUAUAUAUGACAAUUCAAAAAAUAUUUAUACAAAUUUAUGCUCAUUUGACUUAAUAUUGUUUCAUCAUAAAUCCUGAUUGUGUUAAUUUCCACAUUCAUAAACGUUCAUUAAUCUCACUUUACAUUUUUUUUUCAACAAUUACCAUAAAUAUAUACAAAAUAAAAUAAUGAUUUAGUGAGCGAUAGCCUUCAUUGAGCUAUCUGGUUAAUACAUAAUUUUAAAAUUAUUUUACAAAGACUGGCAGAAAUUUACCACAUGUUCAAGUGCUACGAUGGGCACUGCCCUCACUGGACUAUCACACUGCAAAAUAAUCAAAAAAAGAUUUAUUAGUAUUAAUCAAUACUAUUUUUAAUAUGUCGUGGUCCAAAAAAAUGAUCAUUUAUUUUUUUAGUGGAGGAAGGCCACGAUGGCCGGUGAAUAAUGAGGAUGACAAAACUGCAAUGGUCAAUUCCAGCGGUCUUCAAGCACUAGAAUUUGGGUAUAACAAUAAUUAAUUUUAGUUUUCUUCUCUUUUUCACUUAAAAAAUAUGAGAAGCUUGCCAUAUUUUUAAUGAUAUUUUGUUUUACUUUUGUUAGUUUCUUUCAAUUGUACUAACCCAGUCCAUGCAACACCUACGUUAAUAUAGAAUAUCAAAUUUCAAGAAAAAAUUGGUAAUUUACAAAUUUUAAUUUUUUUCUUUUCUUAAUUAUUAAUAUAUGGGUAUUGUGCACCUUAACUCACAAAGUUAUUAUAUUAUAAAUUUAAAAUUUAAUAUUUACAAUCAAAAAUUUAUUUUUUCCUUUUAGAGAGUAAUGAGCUACAAAUUUUUGUAUAAAAAUUCUAUUAAAAAAUUCUGCAUAUCCAUCCAUUUCUAAUUUCAAUUUCGACGAAAAAUCUGUGUAUCUGUCUAUCUCAAAGAACAUUAAUGUCACCUUAACCAAUUUCUGUAGGAAAACCAGUACUGUAAAAUAUACUUACAAAUGCUUCUUUUCAUUUUCUCUUUUUUUUUUUCUCUCCCCAUCCUGAAACAAGUUACGAAUGACUUAAAUUGAGAUGAAGAUAUGGAGAAUUUUUUUUUUUUAAAGAAAAAAAGCAUUAUAAACUGAAUUAAACAGACAAAAUAAAUAAAUAAUUAACUGACAUAACUUUUCCCUCUAAAAUUAGAAAAUUCUUUGUCAUUUAGUGCAUUACAUGCCAAAUACCAGAGAAAAUACAACUACGCAAGCUUGAAGUUCCUCUGCUAUUAUACAACAUAAGCCAUAACAUAGGCUCGAAGAGUAUCUCCCUACAAGUAACAAUCCAACUCACUAAAACUCUUUUAGUUGCCUAUAAAUGAAUAACAAAGACAAGCAGCUAAGCAUCACCUUUUCCUACCCUUACACUUUACUCCUUCCUUUGGAGAAGAUGACGACGACGAGGAUGACUACAAACCUGAGCCAUAUUUUCUCAGCCAUGUCCUUGUAAAAUGCCUUAUUCACGCCUUCUUUAAGUUCCAUGAAGCGUGCCCUUUUGAGUCUCUGCUCUUCAGGAGUACCCUUUUUCUAGGAGGGAAGCAUCGGACCAAUCACAAUCCUAAAAUUUAUCAACCAUUUCUGAGCAACGAGGGAAGUAGCGUCGACCUGUCUCCACUGCAAUCAUAGAAAGUUCAGUAAAUGCACUAAAAAUUAACCUCUCUCUCUUUUGAUACAAAAAUCACAAAUUGUAAAGGUACAAAAACUAAUAAGGUAUAUGAAUACUUG